CGCGUAGGCGGUUUGCUAAGUCGGAUGUGAAAGCCCCGGGCUUAACCUGGGAACUGCAUUCGAUACUGGUAGGCUGGAGUAUGGUAGAGGGAAGUGGAAUUCCGGGUGUAGCGGUGAAAUGCGUAGAUAUCCGGAGGAACAUCAGUGGCGAAGGCGGCUUCCUGGACCAAUACUGACGCUGAGGUGCGAAAGCGUGGGGAGCAAACA
rnacentral:rRNA from 1 species